rnacentral:tRNA from 1 species
CGGGAUGUAGCGCAGUCUGGUAGCGCACCUGCUUCGGGAGCAGGGGGUCGCACGUUCAAAUCGUGUCAUCCCGA